CCCAUUGGUGUUUCAUAAGUACCUUACCGGAUUCCUGGAGAUGAAGAAGUGACUUGGGUUGACUUAUACAAUGUUAUGUAUCGAGAAAGGACACUUUUUUUAGGUCAAGAGAUUCAUUGCGAGAUCACGAAUCAUAUUACAGGUCUCAUGGUAUAUCUGAGUAUGGAAGAUGAAAUUAGUGAUAUUUUUUUGUUUAUAACUCCCCAGGCGGUGUUCUGCUUUGCUGUUUUGCUCUUGUCAAGUCGAGACGAGACGGAGAUGGAGAUGGCAUGCACGCCCGAGAUGGUUCACAGCACCUGA
rnacentral:rRNA from 1 species